UCGGGACCCGAAAGAUGG
rnacentral:sRNA from 1 species